CAGUAGCCGCGGGAAUACGAAGGGGGCUAGCGUUGUUCGGAUUUACUGGGCGUAAAGGGAGCGUAGGCGGAUGUCUAAGUCAGAGGUGAAAGCCCAGGGCUCAACCUUGGAACUGCCUUUGAUACUGGACAUCUUGAGUGUGGGAGAGGUAAGCGGAACUCCGAGUGUAGAGGUGAAAUUCGUAGAUAUUCGGAAGAACACCAGUGGCGAAGGCGGCUUACUGGCCCAUUACUGACGCUGAGGCUCGAAAGCGUGGGGAGCAAACAGGAUUAGAUACCCCCGUAGUCCCUGUCUCUUAUAC
rnacentral:rRNA from 1 species